UACAGAGGGUGCAAGCGUUAAUCGGAAUUACUGGGCGUAAAGCGCGCGUAGGCGGCUGAUUAAGUCGGGUGUGAAAGCCCCGGGCUCAACCUGGGAACUGCAUUCGAUACUGAUCGGCUAGAGUAUGGGAGAGGGAGGUAGAAUUCCACGUGUAACGGUGAAAUGCGUAGAUAUCUGGAGGAACACCGGUGGCGAAGGCGGCAUCCUGGACCGAGAUUGACGCUGAUGCGCGAAAGCCAGGGGAGCAAACGGG
rnacentral:rRNA from 1 species